UGAACGCUGGCGGCGUGCUUAACACAUGCAAGUCGAACGAGAAAGUUCUUUUCGGAGAACGAGUAGAGUGGCGCACGGGUGAGUAACACGUGGAUAAUCUACCUUCAAGCCCGGGAUAACUAUUCGAAAGGAUAGCUAAUACCUGAUAAAGUAUAUGACUUUUAAGGUUAUAUAUGAAAGACAGCCUCUGUAUAUGCUGUUGCUUGGAGAUGAGUCCGCGCACCAUUAGCUAGUUGGUGGGGUAAAGGCCUACCAAGGCAACGAUGGUUAGCUGGUCUGAGAGGAUGAUCAGCCACACUGGAACUGGAACACGGUCCAGACUCCUACGGGAGGCAGCAGUGAGGGAUUUUGCGCAAUGGGGGAAACCCUGACGCAGCAACGCCGCGUGAGUGAAGAAGGUCUUUGGGUCGUAAAGCUCUGUCAACAGGGAAGAAGUUACUAAUAUUUAAUAGAUGUUAGUAUUGACGGUACCUGUGAAGGAAGCACCGGCUAACUCC
rnacentral:rRNA from 1 species